rnacentral:rRNA from 1 species
AUUGAACGCUGGCGGCAGGCCUAACACAUGCAAGUCGAACGGUAGCACAGAGAGCUUGCUCUCGGGUGACGAGUGGCGGACGGGUGAGUAAUGUCUGGGAAACUGCCCGAUGGAGGGGGAUAACUACUGGAAACGGUAGCUAAUACCGCAUAACGUCGCAAGACCAAAGUGGGGGACCUUCGGGCCUCACACCAUCGGAGGUGCCCAGAUGGGAUUAGCUAGUAGGUGGGGUAAUGGCUCACCUAGGCGACGAUCCCUAGCUGGUCUGAGAGGAUGACCAGCCACACUGGAACUGAGACACGGUCCAGACUCCUACGGGAGGCAGCAGUGGGGAAUAUUGCACAAUGGGCGCAAGCCUGAUGCAGCCAUGCCGCGUGUAUGAAGAAGGCCUUCGGGUUGUAAAGUACUUUCAGCGGGGAGGAAGGCGGUGGAGUUAAUAACUUCACCGAUUGACGUUACCCGCAGAAGAAACACCGGCUAACUCCGUGCCAGCCGCCGCCGUAA